UACGUAGGGGGCAAGCGUUGUCCGGAAUCAUUGGGCGUAAAGAGCGUGUAGGCGGCUCGAUAAGUCCGCUGUGAAAGUCAAGGGCUCAACCCUUGAAUGCCGGCGGAUACUGUCGGGCUAGAGUCCGGAAGAGGCGAGUGGAAUUCCUGGUGUAGCGGUGAAAUGCGCAGAUAUCAGGAGGAACACCUACGGCGAAGGCAGCUCGCUGGGACGGUACUGACGCUGAGACGCGAAAGCGUGGGUAGCAAACAGG
rnacentral:rRNA from 1 species